UACGAAGGGGGCUAGCGUUGCUCGGAAUCACUGGGCGUAAAGCGCACGUAGGCGGAUUGUUAAGUCAGGGGUGAAAUCCUGGAGCUCAACUCCAGAACUGCCUUCGAUACUGGAGAUCUUGAGUCCGGGAGAGGUGAGUGGAACUGCGAGUGUAGAGGUGAAAUUCGUAGAUAUUCGCAAGAACACCAGUGGCGAAGGCGGCUCACUGGCCCGGUACUGACGCUGAGAUACGAAAGCGUGGGGAGCAAACAGG
rnacentral:rRNA from 1 species